AUGCACGCUGGCGGCGUGCCUCAUACAUGCCAGUCGCGCGAACAGACGAGGAGCUUGCUCCUCUGACGUUAGCGGCGGACGGGUGAGUAACACGUGGAUAACCUACCUAUAAGACUGGGAUAACUUCGGGAAACCGGAGCUAAUACCGGAUAAUAUAUUGAACCGCAUGGUUCAAUAGUGAAAGACGGUUUUGCUGUCACUUAUAGAUGGAUCCGCGCCGCAUUAGCUAGUUGGUAAGGUAACGGCUUACCAAGGCAACGAUGCGUAGCCGACCUGAGAGGGUGAUCGGCCACACUGGAACUGAGACACGGUCCAGACUCCUACGGGAGGCAGCAGUAGGGAAUCUUCCGCAAUGGGCGAAAGCCUGACGGAGCAACGCCGCGUGAGUGAUGAAGGUCUUCGGAUCGUAAAACUCUGUUAUUAGGGAAGAACAAAUGUGUAAGUAACUAUGCACGUCUUGACGGUACCUAAUCAGAAAGCCACGGCUAACUACGUG
rnacentral:rRNA from 1 species